rnacentral:sRNA from 1 species
UCUUCAGUGAGCCAAUUAUGGCACGAAG